AUUGAACGCUGGCGGAAUGCUUUACACAUGCAAGUCGAACGGCAGCACGAGGGCAACCUUGGUGGCGAGUGGCGAACGGGUGAGUAAUACAUCGGAACGUGCCCAGUCGUGGGGGAUAACGUAGCGAAAGCUACGCUAAUACCGCAUACGAUCUAUGGAUGAAAGCGGGGGACCGUAAGGCCUCGCGCGAUUGGAGCGGCCGAUGGCAGAUUAGGUAGUUGGUGGGGUAAAGGCUCACCAAGCCUGCGAUCUGUAGCUGGUCUGAGAGGACGACCAGCCACACUGGAACUGAGACACGGUCCAGACUCCUACGGGAGGCAGCAGUGGGGAAUUUUGGACAAUGGGCGCAAGCCUGAUCCAGCCAUUCCGCGUGCAGGAUGAAGGCCUCGGUUGUAACUAGCUUUGUUACGGUAACGAAAAGGUUUACCUUAAUACGGUAGAGACUCAUGACGGUACCGUAACGAA
rnacentral:rRNA from 1 species